GCUGAAACCUGUGCUCCUAAAUUCGUGCGAAUGGGGGUCUCACGGGUCCCUUGAGCUGGUCGGACCAGGCAGGAAGGAAAGAUCAAAAUAUGUGAAGUUCUGCCUUGGGCCGGUGCAGUGGAGCGUAAGAAAAAACUAUUAACGUACAUCAUCGAGCCACGCACGCCACUGCUGGACAAGUACAACAGAAGAUAAAUCCUAGAAAAAGUUGCAAGGAAUGCAUUUUAGCUUCUGGAGAGACACAUGAAACAGAGUACUGGACAACCAGAAAGAGCAAAAAGAGGGACGGUGAGAAACAAAUUGCAUUAGAGAGCCUGAGAUAUCUAUGUCAAGAGCAAAGAACGCACCUCACUGUGGAUGGAUCUGCAACUUUUCUACUUCUUGCUGAACACUUGUACAGAGUUUUUGGAAUUUCAGGAGAAAACUGCAGUUGCAGGUGUCCUUUUGGAUGGUACCUGGGUCAAUAAAUGCCAGAGACAGAGCACUGGCACAGGGUGCUGAGAGAAGCUGCAGAGUCUUCUCCUUGGAGAUCUUCUGAAGACACCUGGACAUGGUCCCAGGCACUCUGCUCUGGGUGUCCCAGCUUGAGUAGGGACUGGGUGAGA
ensembl:lncRNA